rnacentral:lncRNA from 1 species
CGGCUGGCAGGAGUCUGCAAUGGCUGGGGCCGGGCCACACCUAGGCGCUGAGCUCCUGAAAUAAGAUCUUGGAACUCGUCUUCAUGUGAAAGCAUCCUCUAACCUUCUUAAGGCUAAAAGACCACCUGGAAAGAGAUGCCCACUGUGCCUGCUGAGCACAUUCCCAGCCUACCUCACCUGAAUGCAGCCCGCGAGUGAACCCAGCAAGACCAGCGCAAGAGCCGAGGACAGCUCCAGAGUCGUGAGAAUCCAUACAUUACGUGACUUUCAGCUAGGAAAAUUCAGGGUGGCUGCUGAUGCAGCAGCAGAGCACCCAGCUGACCCAUCUCCUCAUCUGGGGAGAAGGAGAACUCACAAUCCUGGCAAUGAAGCAACUCAGGGCUCGCUGGAAAGCCACGCUGAGCAAAGGACAAAG